GAUGAACGCUAGCGGCAGGCCUAAUACAUGCAAGUCGAACGAUACCAAGGGGCUUGCUCCUUGGAAAAGUGGCGCACGGGUGCGUAACGCGUAUGCAACCUACCUUUAUCAGGGGGAUAGCCCGGAGAAAUCCGGAUUAAUACCGCAUAAAAUCACAGGAUGGCAUUAUCCAAUGAUCAAACAUUUAUGGGAUAAAGAUGGGCAUGCGUGUCAUUAGCUAGUUGGCGGGGUAACGGCCCACCAAGGCGACGAUGACUAGGGGAUCUGAGAGGAUGGCCCCCCACACUGGUACUGAGACACGGACCAGACUCCUACGGGAGGCAGCAGUAAGGAAUAUUGGUCAAUGGGCGGAAGCCUGAACCAGCCAUGCCGCGUGCAGGAAGACUGCCCUAUGGGUUGUAAACCGCUUUUAUCCGGGAAUAAACCUACUUACGUGUAAGUAGCUGAAUGUACCGGAAGAAUAAGGAUCGGCUAACUCCGUGCCAGCCGCCGCAGUAA
rnacentral:rRNA from 1 species